GAUGAACGCUGGCGGCGUGCCUAAUACAUGCAAGUCGAGCGAACAGACGAGGAGCUUGCUCCUCUGACGUUAGCGGCGGACGGGUGAGUAACACGUGGAUAACCUACCUAUAAGACUGGGAUAACUUCGGGAAACCGGAGCUAAUACCGGAUAAUAUAUUGAACCUCAUGGUUCAAUAGUUAAAGACGGUUUUGCUGUCACUUAUAGAUUGAUCCGCGCCGCAUUAGUUAGUUGGUAAGGUAACGGCUUACCAAGGCAACGAUGCGUAGCCGACCUGAGAGGGUGAUCGGACACACGGGAACUGAGAAACGGUCCAGACUCCUACGGGAGGCAGCAGUAGGGAAUCUUCCGCAAAGGGCGAAAGCCUGACGGAGCAACGCCGCGGGAGUGAUGAUGGUCUUCGGAUCGUAAAACUCUGUUAUUAGGGAAGAACAAAUGUGUAAGUAACUAUGCACGUCUUGACGGUACCUAAUCAGAAAGCCACGGCUAACUACGUG
rnacentral:rRNA from 1 species